rnacentral:rRNA from 1 species
GACGAACGCUGGCGGCGUGCUUAACACAUGCAAGUCGAACGGUGAACCUCUUCGGAGGGGAUCAGUGGCGAACGGGUGAGUAACACGUGGGCAACCUGCCCCCGGCUCUGGGAUAACUCCAAGAAAUUGGGGCUAAUACCGGAUGUUCACCGCUUCCCGCAUGGGUGGUGGUGGAAAGGGUUUCCGGCUGGGGAUGGGCCCGCGGCCUAUCAGCUUGUUGGUGGGGUAGUGGCCUACCAAGGCGACGACGGGUAGCCGGCCUGAGAGGGUGACCGGCCACACUGGGACUGAGACAGGGCCCAGACUCCUACGGGAGGCAGCAGUGGGGAAUAUUGCGCAAUGGGCGGAAGCCUGACGCAGCGACGCCGCGUGGGGGAUGACGUCCUUCGGGUUGUAAACCUCUUUCAGCAGGGACGAAGCGCAAGUGACGGUACCUGCAGAAGAAGCACCGGCCAACUACGUG